GACGAACGCUGGCGGCGUGCUUAACACAUGCAAGUCGAACGGUAAGGCCCUUCGGGGUACACGAGUGGCGAACGGGUGAGUAACACGUGGGUGAUCUGCCCUGCACUUCGGGAUAAGCCUGGGAAACUGGGUCCAAUACCGGAUAGGACUCCGGACUGCAUGGUCUGGGGUGGAAAGCUUUUGCGGUGUGGGAUGGGCCCGCGGCCUAUCAGCUUGUUGGUGGGGUGAUGGCCUACCAAGGCGACGACGGGUAGCCGGCCUUAGAGGGUGACCGGCCACACUGGGACUGAGAUACGGCCCAGACUCCUACGGGAGGCAGCAGUGGGGAAUAUUGCACAAUGGGCGCAAGCCUGAUGCAGCGACGCCGCGUGAGGGAUGACGGCCUUCGGGUUGUAAACCUCUUUCAGCAUCGACGAAGCGAAAGUGACGGUAGGUGCAGAAGAAGGACCGGCCAACUACGUGCCAGCCGCCGCAGUAA
rnacentral:rRNA from 1 species